rnacentral:tRNA from 2 species
GCGAGUGUGGCGGAAUUGGUAGACGCACUGGAUUUAGGUUCCAGCGCCGCAAGGUGUGUGGGUUCGAGUCCCUCCACUCGCACCA